UCGAGCUGAAGGAUUCUGGGUCACCUCCCACCCGUGUUUAUUUUACCUUGUUGCUUCGGCGGGCCCGCCUUAACUGGCCGCCGGGGGGCUUACGCCCCCGGGCCCGCGCCCGCCGAAGACACCCUCGAACUCUGUCUGAAGAUUGUAGUCUGAGUGAAAAUAUAAAUUAUUUAAAACUUUCAACAACGGAUCUCUUGGUUCCGGCAUCGAUGAAGAACGCAGCGAAAUGCGAUACGUAAUGUGAAUUGCAAAUUCAGUGAAUCAUCGAGUCUUUGAACGCACAUUGCGCCCCCUGGUAUUCCGGGGGGCAUGCCUGUCCGAGCGUCAUUGCUGCCCUCAAGCACGGCUUGUGUGUUGGGCCCCGUCCUCCGAUCCCGGGGGACGGGCCCGAAAGGCAGCGGCGGCACCGCGUCCGGUCCUCGAGCGUAUGGGGCUUUGUCACCCGCUCUGUAGGCCCGGCCGGCGCUUGCCGAUCAACCCAAAUUUUUAUCCAGGUUGACCUCGGAUCAGG
rnacentral:rRNA from 1 species